UACAGAGGGUGCGAGCGUUGUUCGGAAUCAUUGGGCGUAAAGCGCUUGUAGGCGGCCUGUCAAGUCGCGUGUGAAAUCCCCUGGCUUAACCAGGGAAGUGCGCGCGAAACUGGCGGGCUUGAGUGCCGGAGAGGGUCGCGGAAUUCCCGGUGUAGAGGUGAAAUUCGUAGAUAUCGGGAGGAACACCAGUGGCGAAGGCGGCGACCUGGACGGACACUGACGCUGAGACGCGAAAGCGUGGGGAGCAAACAGG
rnacentral:rRNA from 2 species